rnacentral:misc_RNA from 1 species
GGGAGGACAGAGAGCCCUCAAUUCUGCUGCUGUUGUUAAUGGAAGCGUCGUUGAUGCUAGUGCUAGGAAAUUUCUGCAGCAUCACAAUCACAGCCAGAGGAGCCGUGCAGGUCUUACUAAAAGCACCGGCAAUACCACCAGAAAGCAGCUGUUGUACGGUUCCUAUCUGCGCUUGAGGACUAAGAGACUGCUGUUUGUUGUGGUUGUGGUUGUGGCUGUGAUUG